UAUAUGUCUAGUAACUUGCAGUUAUCUGGACUGUUUGAAAAUGUCUUUUGACUAACUUCAAAAAGAUUGAUUUGUUGAAAAGUGAUUGAGUUUUAGAAAAGACUUAUGUAAAAUAGAUUUAGGGAACUUAGUAGGAAUUUUAACUAAGUAUAAACAAAACUAAUAAGCAAAUAAACACAUAAAAAGGGAGAGGGAGGAGAAAGUAAAAGAUUUAGGCCAUUGGGCCUAAAUCAACGAGACCUGUCCUAGUCUAAUUGGACUUUCGACCCAUUUCACCUGUCUUGAUCUAGUUGUCGAGCCUUUGGCUCGAGUUUUGCUCCACCUGUAUUAAAUUUACAACUUCGGCUUCGAGUCCCAAAAUGAAUGAACAAGUAAAAUAAAUAAAUAACGACAACAAUAAAUAAAUAAAAUAAAAAACGAGACUCUCAAGUCUCUUGGCUGCUUCAAAGAUGGGACUUUAACCCAUCCUUCUUCUUUCGAUUCCUUGUAUUCCUUUGACAUGCAAUCGAUGUUUCCUUAGGGCCUUCGAAACAAAUUGACUCAAAAGGAUGGCCUCAAUGGCCCAAAACCAAAANNNNNNNNNNNNNNCAUGUAGGACUCGGAUGCAUCCACAUGCAAAGAAAAAAAAUAUAACAAUUAAUAUAUAUUCAAGUGUGGAUAUCUAACUUAUAAGUAAUAACCCAAAAUAUUAACAUGAAGAAAAGGACCGUAUCUGACACCAAAGAUUAGAAAAUAAUCGACUAACACAGAAUUUUUAAAGCCAAAACAUAUUUAACCCAAAAAAAUUAAGCCGGGCAGUUGAUAUCCAAAAACAAAUAUGUAUACAAAGGAAUCAACACCAAUUAAAAACACACACACUAGCAAAAUAAAACAAAAAGGCAAGAUAGACUUCAAAUCGAUAGGAAACACAGAUUUACAUAUAUAAAAAGAAUUCAAACUGGACAAUUUCGCUCCCCUUUCAAAUAAGACAGAAUAUUAUUUCUUACUUAGACAGCCUUCCUUAAGAGUUUAGGCCCAUGAGCCAAAACUCAAUCAAGAUGAGAAUAUCAUUCUGAUCGACACCCAAUGAAUGGAUUUGAAAAUCUUUCUUUUUGCAAAAAGUCGCAAAUUGACCACACAAUAGCCUAGCAUCAAACUUAGUCGACAUUCUAACAUGCACCCAUCACAUUAUAAAUAGAAUCAAAGUUCACAUUCACAGGAUAAAAUUUAACAAUGCCGAUAAGACAAAUGAAGGGAUAAGUAAGCAAUCAACGAAAGAAGAGGACAUCACACUUCCAGCAUAUUAAGAAUAUGUACAACAAUCAAACUGUGAAGGGAAAUAAAGCAAGAGAGGUGGGGCAUUUUCUAAUAUAAUUAUGCAGGUGCGAAAUAUAUAAUUAAUCUUAUUCGAUAUUUUUCACAUAGUUAACACACAAAGAAUUACAACUUACAAUCCUAGGGAAUAUACUACAAACUCCUCCUCACCCUCCCCUUGACACAAUUGAAAUGAACUUUCAAAGGUCAAAGGGAAGAUCCUUGGGGGUUCCAUAAGAUUGUCAACUUUACUACGGACAUACACCCGUUAUCUUCAUCGACUUUAAAGGUUGAGAAAAUCAAGAGGCAGCCCGCAUCGGAUGAAUAUAAUCAAGUAAGAUGCUACCAGUAACCUUAAGAACAAAAUUUAAAGAAAGACAAAUGAACCUAAUCAAGGAAGCACCAUGCUAAAUCAAUAUACCAAGACUAAAACAUGAUCUUCAGCUAAAAAAAAUGACAAGUCAGACCGCAAUGUUCGAAUGUAAACAUGACAUGGUUUUGAUGCUACAAUGGUUUGUGAAGCAGAACUAAAACACUAAUUACAAAAUUUAGACAUUAAACUCGAGAUAAAAAAUAAUAAAUCAAAGCAACUUGUCGAGCAUCGUCACACCAAAUUAAGGCUGGACAGUAUCCCAAAUCACAGGAAACGCUGAAUUAAAAUGGCAAAUAAAAGGCGGAAUUUGAACGAUAUGUAUGCCGAUUCAUGCUAUAAAUUCACACAUAACCAACAAGCUAUAAAUUUACAGAUAACCAACAACAUCAGUUAAGAGACAGUAUAUUCGGUGUAACACCAACGAAAUAGCAUAACAACAAUCACAAACACAUCCGAAGGCCAUCAUAGCCAACUACAACAGACAAAUCCCAACCUCAUUCACGAUUAUACUAAACAGUUAACUAAUUCUAUGGAGAAAAGGGAUGAAGAAGAAAACAAUGGUAUUAAAAGGGAUGAGAGUAUGUUUACCUCUUUCAGGGCAGCAAAACAAAAUCUCGAGCUAACAUUGGAUUCCACUACCACCAAAAAUCAGUCCUUCGAGAGCUCCGACCAAAUCGACAGCUUCAAAAAUUUUGUUUUACUCAAAUAAAAGCUUUACUGCUUUUUGCUCAAAAAGGAUUUUUCACCCCUUCAAGACUUGUCCCUUUUUAGCUCACAAGGGGGUUUUAUAUAGAAGGAACUAGGAAUUGAGUUUUUUUUUUUUGGAUUCCACCGAUGUGGGAACAACUAUUUCGAGGGUAGUUUUGGAAAUUCGAAUGGGGGGAAUUCAAAUUUUGAAAAGGAAAUCCAAUUGUGAGUUAGAAUUGUACGAAAUUCGUACAAAUUUGCAAUGGUUUUGUGUUGAGAUGUCCCUCUUAGGGAAGCUUUGACGAAGCUGCGUCGAGCAUGGAUCGAGUUCGAGGGUACGGUUUUUGACUCAGGUCGGGUCGACGCUGACGAAUUUGGGGCGGGUACGGUUUUUGACUCAGGUCGGGUCGACGCUGACGAAUGGUUGUUGGAAGCUGAUUGUGUGUUGUUUUUUGACGUAGUUGUGCGUAUUUUGGUUUCUCGAUGUUUACAAGUGUGGUUGUUGCUGUUGAUUAAAGAAGAAAAGGAAUAAGAAGUUGGGCCGGGUCUACUGGUGUGGUGUUGGGCCGUAUUUUGCAAUUGGGCUAUGGCUGAUGGGUUGGCUAUUUGUUGGCGUGUUUAGGUCACUGUUGAAGCAGAUUUGGGCCUGCUAAUGGCUUUAAAAUAUUUGGCCUGAAAUUAAUAUGGUGUUGGAAAUUAAGGAUUAAUAAAUGGGUAGAUUAGGUCAAUUUUGGGGUUAUUUUAAAAAUAACCCCAAUUAAAUCAGGGGUUAGCUAAAUCCAUUUAAUUUUUGGCCAAAUGAGAAUCAAUUGGCCAAUUACUUUGCAAUUGGGGCCAAUUUGAUUUUGAUUAUAGCCAAAUUUAAUAGAUUGACCAAAUUGAAUCGAAAUUCGGUACGAAUUAAUACUUUACUUAAUCCCGAGCUUCUUGGUUUAAUAAAAUCAAAAACAUAUUUAUCCAAAUAAAUUGUUCUGGAGAAUAAAUUAUAUUUAGAUCAAGAUUUUAAUCAUUUAAUUUUAUUUUCAAAAUAAUCCUUAAUUAAAAUUCGAUAUUUCAUAGAAUAAAUAUUUAAGUAAUCAAAUUAUAUAAUAUCGUAUAAUUGAACACGAUAAUAUAUAAUCGCUACUUAAAAAUGACAAAAUUACGUACAAAUAUAUUUUUAAAUUUUUUUAUUCAGAUGAAAUAAGUAUUUUAAUUUUAUUAAAAAUUGAAGAAACUCAGGAUUAAAAUUAGUCGUGGAGGGAAAAAACUAGGUGCCAACAACUGUCCCCUUCAUUUGGGUAGGGUGGACGCAAGUAACCCUGGGCAAAAGGAGUUUGACGUUCCUAAUUUUUGUUCGACCACAAAUUCGAACCUGAAAGGGGUUGUCUUUCGCACAAGUUUCAUGGAGUUAUGGCCGGACCUUGGUAUCAGGUUUCCCAUAUAUCUUAGAUUACAUGAGAAUUUGGGCCACUUGUAGUUCAUAAAGUUUGAUUCAAAGCACGAUUUUAAAAAAAUUCACCUGCUUUAUCGGUUUUGGAGUUUUUAAUGAAAUUGAAAAGCCAGAGAAUAAAGGAAUUUGAGGGAGGUUGGAUGUCACGCCCCAAAAUCCCAUCGGGCCGGACUGGCACCCGAAGCCGAGAAGGCCCGGGAGAACCCGUUCAAAUACCUGUACUUUCACUUACAUGUCACCAAAAAAAUUGGACAGCACUUCGUUGCAUAUAGAAAGGUCUAAUUACCUGUAUCAGCACAACACGCACAAAUAUAUAUAUAUAAUACUUGGCCGUCGGGGCCACCACAUAUACAAAUAUAACGUUACUAUAUAAACUUCCAUGACUUUACCCUUCCUUAUGUCUACAAAGCCUCUAGGAUAUACAUGACAUAACUAGGGUCGGGACAAACCCCCGCCCACACGUGACUCAUGUACAAUAACAAAACAUAAGGAACCGACUCGGAAAGCUCCGAAGCAAACUGGAGCUCACCAACAAUAGCUGUAUGACCUGGCUCCUACUUGUGCGGUGUAUGAGUUGAGGUACCUGUGCCUGCAGCAUGAAAUGCAGGUCCCCCGUGAGGGACGUCAGUACGAAAUAUGUACUGAGUAUGUAAAGCUGUAAAUAAUCACAUAUGAUAUAGGAGCUCAAUAGAAAUCAGAAACAAGUGAAUAAGUCGUAAUAGGAGUGGACCACACUUACUAGAACUUGUGACAACCUGUACAUUGUAUUUAUUCAAUCACUUUACCUUCGUUCUUAUCGUCUUUGUAAUCAUUACUGUACUGUACUGUGACCAUUAGGCUGCCUCCAGUACAUAUCAACUGGGAUCGACCCAUGCUAGGCUUAUGCCCCUGGGAUACCACCCAUAAACACAUGAAAUAGGGAUCGACCCAUGCUAGGCUUAUGCCCCUGGGAUACCACCCGAUAAGAGAGAACUUUCAUCACUUAGUUCAAUUAAUCUUUGAGAUUGUUAUUUCGGUCGUCACCACAUUUUUGAUACCUUGAAACAAUGAUACAUCAAUAGGAACCAAGUAAUAGACCUUCUAUACAAUAACGAUGUAAUAAGGACUCAUUGGUACAUCAACAAUAUGUUUCAGAAUCAUCAAUAUCACAACAAUGAAAUAAGAGCCUUUUGGUAUAUCAAUGAACAUUUUGACACUUUAUAGGAUGGAAACAACUUCGUUGGUAACGUAGAACAAUACAUGUUUUUGGACAACCUCGGAAUCUUACUUGAUGGAACAUUGGUGUUUUCAUGCCAAAGAACAUUGUUAGAGUAUGCUUUACAUACCUCGUUGUAGAUUCAGCUACCAAUUCAACACAACUUCCCGCCUUUACAAAUCACUUAUCUACAAUGAAAUGUUUGGCAUCUAGUAUUAGCAACCCAACACCACAAUUCUCUUCCAUAAUUCCAUACUACCAAUAUUUGCAAAACAUUCCAAAAACCAACUUGAACAAUAGGUUUAUGUGUGUAUAUGUAUAUAAUCAUCAUCUCAAUACCACAUCAUCAAUACCACAUCAUCACCCCAAAUUCCUUCACAAUUUAACAUAAUCCAACCAUGCACAAGAAUAAUCCAACAUCAUUUCCAAUCAUCUUUCAACAACAAUCAAAUAACAUACUUCUUAUGCUCACAUGCAUAUAUAUAUAUAUAUACAUAUCCAUAUAAAUAACACCAACAUAAUUUACAUCCUUACCAAAAAAAAUGGCCCUUUUGAUUUCGAAGUCCUGUUGGCACAAAUAAGGGGUGCUUCUCGAAGCCCUUGAGACGGUGAACACAACUACGGAAUCAAUUUGGAUUUUCUACGGUUGAAUCACAAGAUAAUUGGAGUUGAACUUAGGCUAGGGUUUCUUAUUCUUCAAUGAUUUGGAUGAUAAAUGGUGGAUAUAAGGCUAAGUAUAUGUAUAUAAUGACCAAUUUUCGUCCAUGAGGUGAUGGAAAAUGACCAUAUUGCCCUUAAAAAUUUAAGUAAAUCCGAAUCUGUCCAUGGUGGACUGUUUUGAUAGGCUAAAGUAAAUCGGCCAUAACUCUUUGCUCCGAUAUCGGAUUUGGGUGAAAUUGGUAUCGUUAGAAAGAUAAUUCAAAGGUAUUUCAUUUAAUAUAAAUUAAUCCACCCAGUUCGUCCUGUACAAGUAGUUAUGAUCGUUUGAAGUUGACCCUAAAAAUCUGUUUUGAGAGGCUGAAGUAAAACGAGUAUAACUCCUUACUCAGAUGUUGGAUUUGGAUGAAACCAAUUUCAUUGGAAAGAAGACUCAAAGAUCUUUCUUUUGAUAUAUGGUAGCUCAACCAGUUCAUUAUAUUGAGGGAGUUAUGAUCGUUCAAAGUUGACCCAAAAAACUGGCAGGCCUCAGUAGUUUCCUGCACAUUUUACUGUUCACAUCCCGGCCACCGUUUUAAAGUUUCGAACGAGCUCGCUUAUAUCCGAAACUUAUCCGUUUUUGGAAAUCUUUAUAUCGUUGGAAAGCUUAUUCAAUAACCUUCGUAUGGAACCAUCGACGGGAAAAUUCCGAUAUAAAUAAAGUCGAUUCCUAUACACCUAUAAUCAAACUAUACACUUGAAACCAUCUCAAAAUAAUCAAUACUCAUACUUAAACUCAUAUAUACCUAACUUAGGAUCAAUACAUAUACCCCAACACAUAUAACAAUGACUAAUGCACGUAAUUAAGUACGGGGUGUUACAUUGGAAUACAGUUGAGUUUUUUACAUAGAUCCCAACCUACAUAUCCUCGAGACUCAGAGAAUUAGACUGCUUGUAGUUCGACUCGAUCGGCAGAAAAGAUAGUCCUUUAUUUCAGACGAUCUUUGGCUCAGGAUGAGUGACAAGUUGAUUGAAUUAUGGAAAAGAGUCUUGUAACCUCUUAACCAUGAAUGUAGAGCUCUUCAAAUCCAUAGGUAAGAAUUUACCUGGACAUAAUUUCCAAAACUCUAGGUAUCCUAUCACUCAGUUUUAAAAGAAAGAAAAGUUUACCCUAGAUAUGAGUUUAGAAAUAUAUCGAAGGUGAAGCUGAAACCAAAAUAUUCCAAAAUAUCCACAUGUCUUCUAACAUGGGUGUGGUUGGAUGGUGGUGGCGAUCAUCCUUUAGCUCGCGUUCAAAGAGUUUGACGUCCCUCUUUAGACUAUGUCCCGUUUUGCUGUUGAGAAAGAGUUCCACGUUGUGCUGCAUCCUAUUUGGAGUCGUCCGUACCUGUGGUUUUGAUUUGAGAUUUUCAUCCUCUCGAAUGUUUUCGAUAAUGUUUCAAACAAAAAAUGUUAGUGCUAAAUAUAAUUCACAAAAGAAGUAUAUAGUUCUUUACCAUAUCUCCACAUGAAUUGUUGCCUAAAAAGCAAAGUCAUCCUUUCAUGUACCUGUUUGGAAAGAAAUAAAUUGCACUAACAAAUGCAACAACCCUCUUGGUUGUUGUAUAAUUAGCUCUUUUGUUGAUUGUAUAUGUCUUCAAAAUGGGGUGACCCUUUUAGACAUCGAUGACACUUUAUGUAGAACAGUCCCUACAACCGUGUGACAUUAUGCUGAGGUAAACCAUUUUGGUUGCCUAUGAUAACCUUUCUGGUUAUUGAUAAUAAUUCUUUUCAUGUGACCUCGGGUAAGUCUUGCGUAUCUUUUGUAUCGAUAUGACUUAUAAAUUUUCCUUAAAUUGUCAAUCUUUGGAUAGUCUUGCACAUUAUUUGAUGUUGGAUAUGAGGUGAUAUAUCCUUUGAAUUGCUAUCUUUUAGGUAGUCCUGCACAUUAUCCGACCUUGAAUAAGAGAUGACUUACGGAUAUCCCUCAAAUCGCUAGCUCUCAAGUAUUCCUGCACAUCAUCCGACCUUGGAUACAAUAUGACUUAUAAAUAUGUCUCAAAUUACCAGUCCCUGGAUAAUCCUGCACAUAAUUGAUCUUGGAUAUGACGCGACUUAUAGAGAACCCUUGGACUUAUCAAUUUGAUAAUCUCACAUAUUCUCUGGUAAGGAUUUAGUUACAACUUAUGGAUAACCUUCGGACUAUCAAUUUUUGGGUAACCUUGCACACUAUCUGGUUAGGAUGUUGUUGUGUCUUACGGAUAACCUAUGGGCUAUCAAUUCAUAGGUAAUCUUGCAAGUUGUCCUAUUUUAAAUAAUAUGACUUACAGAUGACCCUCAAAUUGUCAAUUUCUAGGAAAUCUCAUGUGUGACUUAUUUUCAUACAACGACUUAAAGACGUCCCUUCAAAUCGAAUGCUAUUGAUGUAUUCAAAUGCUGAUUCAUAAAAUAAUGAGAUAUCCUCGAUGCCUGUAUUUAUGUCUCGCGUGUUAACAUAUAUUAAAUGCUGAUGAUAUCCUCAAUGCCAGUGUUUGUAUUUCGCGUGUCAACAGAUAUUUAAAUGCUGAUGAUAUCCUCGAUGCUAACGUUUGUGUCUCGCGUGUCAACAAAUAUUGAAUACUGAUGAUAUCCUUGACGCCAGCAUUUGUGUCUUGCGUGUCAAUAGAUAUUAGAUGUUGAUGAUAUCCUCGACGCCAGCGUAUGAUAUCUCGCGCGCUAUCAAAUAUUUAAUACAGAUGAUACCCUUAAUGCCAGCGUAUAAUAUCUCGUUCGUCAUCAGAUAUUUAAUGCAUAUGAUACCCUCGACGCCAGCGUAUGGUAUCUCGUGCGUCAUCAGAUAUUUAAUGCAACUGAUACCCUCUACGCCAGCGUAUGAUAUCUCACGCGUCAUCAGAUAUUUAAUGCAGAUGAUACCCUCGACGCUAACGUAUGAUAUCUCACGCGUUAUCAGAUAUUUAAUGCUAAUGAUACCCUCAACGCCAACAUAUGAUAUCUCGCGCGUCAUCAGAUAUUUAAUGCAGAUGAUAUCCUCGAUGCCAGCAUAUGAUAUCUCACGUGUCAAUAGAUAUUAGAUGAUGAUAUCCUCGAUGCCAGCAUAUGAUAUCUCGCAUGUCAACAGAUAUUAGAUGAUGAUAUCCUCGACGCCAGCGUAUGAUAUCUUAUAUGUUAACAAAUAUUAGACGAUGAUGAUAUCCUCGAUGCCAUCAUAUGAUAUCUCGCGUGUCAAUUGAUAUUAGAUACAAUGGCCCUCUCAUCAAUGACAUGAUAUGAAAUGGUUCUUCCGGUGAUUUGAAAAUAGUUUCUCCUGAUCUUUAUUUGUCUGCGUCUUACUUUCUACAUGUACCUGCACUCAAGGUAGACAAUUAGUAGACACAAUGUAGCUCUCACUGGUAACCAAACUCAAGUUUUAUGAUAGUUUAAUGACAAAUAAUGAGCAUCAUAAUUUGAAUGGCUUAUUCUGCUAAUAAUCAUCUCUUUUUGAAGAAAUGAUUAAAUAGUCAAUCCACUGGAUGCAAGUAAAUUGGGCAAAACCCUUGGUUGGGGAUUACUUAAAUACCGUUGCUUCACUUCAAGGCGAAUUUUGAGGAUGACUUUCUUAUCUUUCUCCUAUUGAAUGAUCCGUUGACUGUUGUAUUUAUUGUGCUGACUCCCUUGAAUGAACCUACGCUCAAGGUAAAUAUUUAGUAGAUACAAAGUUGCUUUUCCUAGCGAUUAUUUUUUUAGAAAAAUUCUAAAUACAAUAUUCAUAAAAAAGAUAAGACGCCUUUAUUUGUCCUUCAUGAUCUCAAGAAAUGAGAUAGACAAUUCAAAAGGUCCUCGAUAAAUGGGUAAGUGAAUCCAUUUUUGGGGGUACCCAAAAAUACCAUUCUUGAGCAUUAUAUGCUCUGGUGUGGCUCCCAACUUGUUCAUGAAUUUUUGAAAGAGUCUCUCAUUUUUGUGUAUUGAUCCCCACAUCUACAGAAAAAUGAUUAGUUUGAGUGAAACUACUCCGUGUUGACGUCCUUCGAUCCUUGGUUUGCUCCUCGCCAUCUUUCGGCUGCUCCAUUGUGUUGGGACUUCCACCCUGACUCCUCAUUUCAAUAGAUGCUUAGGCAAUCACUAAGUAAGAAGAUUUGCAUGGAUUUUCAAAAAUAGUCUUAUUUUUAGAAAAUAGUUUUGAAAGUUUCUGUAAAAGCUUUAGAAAAUCUCUGCUAGCCAUGUCAUGUAGUAGCUCAACAAACGUCUUUCCCUUGAUUUUGACUAUAUUCGGCGGAGGAUUUCAAAAACUCAUCAUCAUUGUUGGGGGUUUCUUCAAAUAGUUCUGUCAUAGUUGGAGAUUGAGUCUACCUAGACUUUGUUCAAAAGUUUGACUAUAACCUCUGGUGAUGGGAAAUUUGAAAUAUAUUCCAGUGUUUGGUGGAAAUUUUGAGGCCUUCCUCAAAAUUUUCUGCCCCAGUUUAAUGUUGUUUGAGAUGAUCUCAGCUCGAGAGGAUUCGAAGACUUUGUUGAUCUUCAUUCUUUUUAUCGGAUGUUGAUCUUCCUCUUAUGAAUUUUUGAGAUUACUUCUAAAAAAUUCAGCCCCAGUUUCUAUUUUCUGGGGCAUAUGACCGAGUCGUUGGGGUGCCUACAUAUCCCGUUGAAGCAGGAAUCAAGUCAAACGUAGUUCGGGACAACGCUAUGGAUAUACAAAAAAAUUCAAUGGGUUGACCGAAGCCGACAUAAGCCGCCUACGUAUCCCAUUUGUUGUGAAUCUAGGUCAUCACAUGGUUCAUACGUAAGAGGAAAGGAUAACUUCUCCUAAGGGGUUGACCAAAGCCGACAUAGACCGACUACGUAUCUCUUUCUUGGGAAUUCAGGUCAAACGUAGUUCAUACAUAAAAGGAAAGAAUAAUUUUCCUAAGGGAUUGACCGAAGCCGACAUAGGCCGCCUACGUAUCCCUUUCUUGGGAAUUUAGGUCAAACGUAGUUCAUACAUAAAAGGAAAGGAUAAUUUUCCUAAGGGGAUGACCUAAGCCGACAUAGGCCGCCUACGUAUCCCUUUCUUGGGAAUUCAGGUCAAAUAUAGUUCAUACAUAAAAGGAAAGGAUAAUUUUCCUAAGGGGUUGACCGAAACUGACAUAGGCCGCCUACGUAUCCCUUUCUUGGGAAUACAGGUCAAAUGUAGUUCGUACAUAAGAGGAAAAGAUAAAUUCUCCUAAGGGGUUGACCAAAGCCGACAUAGGCCGCUUACGUAUCCCUUUCUUGGGAAUUCCGGUCAAACGUAGUUCGUACAUAAAAGGAAAUGAUAAUUUUUUAAAGGCUUAACCGAAGCCGACACAGGCUGCCUACGUAUCCCUUUCUUGAGAAUUCAGGUCAAACGUAGUUCAUACAUAAAAGGAAAAGAUAAUUUUCCUAAGGGAUUGAUCGAAACCGACAUAGGUCGCCUACAUAUCCAUUUCUUCGGAAUUCAGGUCAAAUGUAGUUUGUACAUAAAAGGAAAGGAUAAUUUUCCUAAGGAGUUGACCGAAGCCGGCAUAGGCCGCCUACGUAUCCCUUUCUUAGGAAUUCAGGUCAAACGUAGUUCAUAUAUAAAAGGAAAGAAUAAUUUUCCUACGGGGUUGACCGAAGCUAACAUAGGCCGCCUACGUAUCCUUUUUUUGAAAAUUUAGGUCAAACAUAGUUCGUACAUAAAAGGAAAGGAUAAUUUUCCUUAGGGGUUAACCGAAUCUGACAUAGGCCACCUACGUAUCCCUUUCUUGGAAAUUCUGGUCAAACGUAGUUUGUACAUAAAAGGAAAGGAUAAUUUUCCUAAGGGGUUGACCGAAGCCGACAUAGGCCGCCUACGUAUCCCUUUCUUGGGAAUUCAGGUCAAACGUAGUUCGUACAUAAAAGGAAAGGAUAAUUUUCCUAAGGGGUUGACCGAAGCCGACAUAGGCCGCCUACGUAUCCCUUUCUUGGGAAUUCAGGUCAAACAUAGUUCGUAUAUAAAAGGAAAUCAUAAUUUUCCUAAGGGGUUGACCGAAGCCUACAUAGGCCGCCUAUGUAUCCCUUUCUGGGAAUUCAGGUCAAACGUAGUUCGUACAUAAAAGGAAAGGAUAAUUUUCCUAAGGGGUUAACCAAAGCCGUCAUAGGCCGCCUAGGUAUCCGUUUCUCAGGAAUUCAGGUCAAACGUAGUUCGUAUAUAAAAGGAAAGGAUGAUUUUCCUAAGGGGUUGAUCGAAGCCGACAUAGGCCGCCUACAUAUUUCUUUCUUGGGAAUUCAGGUCAAACGUAGUUCGUACAUAAAAAGAAAGGAUAAUUUUUCUAAAGGUUUGAUCGAAGCCGACAUAGGCCUCCUAUGUAUCUCUUUCUUGAGAAUUCAGGUCAAACACAGUUCGUACAUAAAAGUAAAGGAUAAUUUUCUUAAGGGGUUGAUCGAAGCCGACAUAGACCGCCUGCGUAUCCCUUUCUUGGGAAUUCAGGUCAAAUGUAGUUCGUACAUAAACUCAUAAUGACCCUAAAAUACUCUUAUCCAUCUUACUAGAAUAGAAAUAAGCACUUCUAUGGAUGACAUGACGUUUUCAUUGCGUUUGUCUUGAUAGAACGAGGGAUCAAAUGUCCAAUUCCCUUAGUCAUCACCUUCCUAGUUAACCACCUCGAUUUCCUCUAGAUUAGGCUUCUUAUCUUCUCGAACUCUUUCACUCUUUUGUUGACUGUUUUAGGGCUAUCAUUAUCUUGGUUCUUGACAUGAAAUGAUAAUGACAGGUUUUAAGUUAUUGUUAUACGACGGGCGAUGAGUCAUGAGUGGAGUGGAGGUCCAAUUCAACAAUGUUUUCUCCAAUUAAUCUUCCAUGAUCCGGUUGUCUUGGAAAAUUCUUCCCUCACAUUUUCCUUAUUCCAUCCUCGAGACCAUCACUUACAGGUUUGAAAAAUGAUUGGUAGAGUCCAAUUUUACUACUAGUCAUUUUUCUUUUCUUGUAACAAAGCUAUAGUCAAGAAGGGAAUCUUUUAUUCAUUUUGAUCUGGUGAGGUAGGGUCAUUUUGUGCCAACACAAAUUAGUUUUUUGUACCUGCAAAGUAAAAAUAACUCAAACGCUGACGUGUUAGAUUCCAUUAAUAAUAAGUAAAGCAAGAAGAUAAGGUAGAAAGUAAACACAUAGAGUUGUUUCUUAUCUCAUGCAAAUUAAUCCAUGAAGUAAUGAUGACUCGAGAAUUUCAAUGAACAAGAUUUUGCUCAAUGGUAUGGAUAGGUGGAAUUUUUCAGAAAGAUUCAACUCUUCUUCUUCCUUCAAGAAAGUGGAGGACAACAAAAUUUUUGAAGAUAGAAGCCGGGCCGAAAUGCUGCCUACGUAUCUCACGGGAGGAGAAAUCAUACCCUACGUAGUUCAAACUAUAAUGGAUUUCUCUGAUUCUAAAGUCAACUUCCCUAAAAUUGUAGCGAUCAUUUUGGAAGUUUUAGGAAUGACUGCGGACUUUUCUGAGAAACUUGGGAGACUUGGAGUACGUUUGGUCGAACUUUUGUAUAAUGGAGUAUAUUUCUGCCUAGAGAUGUUCUAUGGAAAAUGGAAUCGGAUCAAUUCACAUUUGAUUCGAAUCAACAUAACACGUAUAAGCACAUAAAUAGUUAUAUUACACAAGUAUAUUGUAAUAAACGUGCAUCUUAAUUGGGUGACCCUUUUGAGCCAAGGGUUUAGGCCUAACGAAUUUUGAAGAAAAUAUACGCCUUUUUAAAGCCAAUCCAUUAUCCCCAAAAACCUUCAUAGGUAUACAUAAAUGACAUAAAUGUCUACAAAAGUUGCACAAAAAGGGAUACAAUCUUUAGGGUAAGGGAAAAUAAGAUGAGAAAAAUAAUAAUGUCUCGCGUAAGGGAUAUGAAAUACUAGCUCCUGAAUGCUUCUCCUAUCGGCCUUCGCCUUAUUAGCUUUGUCCAUUUCUUGUCAUUGACGACAUUCAUUGAUGAUCAAGCAAUUUUUGUAUAGCUAUUCCUUAGAUGCAACCGCCCAAAUCGAUCAAUUUCUUGCUUGACUUGCUUCGAUUCCUCUCUCAAUUGGUGUAUGAUUGAGGCCCCCUUACACGAAAGUAAGCAAGCCUUUUCCCGACCCCCAAAGGAUAAUGGAUUGAAUUAAAUAAACAUAUAUUUCUUCAACACAUAAAUAUGAUUCGUAUGUAAUUGACUCGAGAUCAAUAGACGCAGAGCAAGUUUUCUAAUGGGCCUAAUAUCCCCCGGGUAUUGGGUCGUCCUAGACUCAUGCCUAAAAUAGAAUUUUUGUUUCGAUCUAUCCUAGACAACUAAAGUGGGUUUGAACCAGGUUCUCAAGCGCAUGACUUGGGUUUGAAAAUACGAACAGCCAUCAGACGACUCACGUGCUAAUAAACUGUCGUAUUUCGAACACGUUAUUUGGAAUUGAACAACAAGGGCUUGAACAUCCGCAAAACCCCAAAACAAUUUAAUCAAUGUAGGAUAAAGCUAUGAGAUACAAUAAUUAAAUACCGCGAAAUCAAAACAUAUAAACACGUAAAUAGUUUAUCAAAAGACGAAAUCAAAUAUUUGGUUAAAACCUAAUUAAAUUUCCCAACACAGUCGCCAUUUCUAUUUUGCGAAAAUUUUAACUUUUGAAGAGUCGCCACAUAAUUUUGAAAAUGAAUUAAGAAAUCUUUGUAAAAUAUUAUAAACGAUCCAAAACAGGAAAAUCAUUUAAAAUUUAAAGAUUUUGAGUAAGCGGUUCCUAUUAACGUUUUAGGAAGGUUUUAGGCACCUAAACGUCUGCUAACUUGCGGUUAUCUGGACUGCUUGAAAACAUCUUUUGACUAACUUCAAAAAGAUUGAUUUAUUGAAAAGUGAUUGAGUUUUAGAAAAGACUUAUGUAAAAUAGAUUUAGGGAACUUAUUAGGGAUUUUAACUAAGUAUAAACAAAACUAAUAAGCAAAUAAACACAUAAAAAGGGAGAGGGAGGAGAAAGUAAAAGAUUUAGGCCAUUGGACCCAAAUCAACGAGACCUGUCCUAGUCUAAUUGGGCUUUCGACCCAUUUCACUUGUCUUAAUCUAAUUGUCGAGCCUUUGGCUCGAGUUUUGCUCCACCUGUAUUAAAUUACAACUUUGGCUUCGAGGCCCAAAAUGAAUGAACAAGUAAAAUAAAUAAAUAACGACAACAAUAUCUAAAUAAAAUGAAAAACGAGACUCUCAAAUCUCUUGGCUGCUUCAAAGAUGGGACUUUAACCCAUCCUUCUUCUUUCGAUUCCUUGUAUUCCUUUGACAUGCGAUCGAUGUCUCCUUAGGGCCUUCGAAAUAAAUUGACUCAAAAGGAUGGCCUCAAUGGCCCAAAACCAAAAUGCAGAAAGGGAACCAUGUAGGACUCGGAUGCAUCCACAUGCAAAGACAAAAAAAAUAUAACAAUUAAUAUAUGUUCAAGUGUGGAUAUCUAACUUAUAAGUAAUAACCCAAAAUAUUAACAUGAAGAAAAGGACAGUAUCUGACACCAAAGAUUAGAAAAUAAUCAACUAACACAGAAUUUUUGAAGCCAAAACAUAUUUAACCAAAAAAAAUUAAGCCGGACAGUGGAUAUCCAAAAGCAAAUAUGUAUACAAAGGAAUCAACAUCUAUUAAUAACACACACUAGCAAAACAAAACGGAAAGGCAAGAUAGACUUCAGGUCAACAGGAAACACAGAUUUACAUAUAUAAAAAGAAUUCAAACUGGACAAUUUCGCUCCCCUUUCAAAUAAGACAGAAUAUUAUUUCUUACUUAGACAGCCUUCCUUAAGAGUUUAGGCCCAUGAGCCAAAACUCAAUCAAGAUGAGAAUAUCAUUCUGAUCGACACCCAAUGAAUGGAUUUGAAAAUCUUUCUUUUUGCAAAAAGUCGCAAAUUGACCACACAAGAGCCUAACAUCAAACUUAGUCGACAUUUUAACAUGCACCCAUCACAUUAUAAAUAGAAUCAAAGUUCACAUUCACAGGAUAAAAUUUAACAAUGCCGAUAAGACAAAUGAAGGGAUAAGUAAGCAAUCAACGAAAGAAGAGGACAUCACACUUCCAGCAUAUUAAGAAUAUGUACAACAAUCAAACUGUGAAGGGAAAUAAAGCAAGAGAGGUGGGGCAUUUUCUAAUAUAAUUAUGCAGGUGCGAAAUAUAUAAUUAAUCUUAUUCGAUAUUUUUCACAUAGUUAACACACAAAGAAUUACAACUUACAAUCCUAGGGAAUAUACUACAAACUCCUCCUCACCCUCCCCUUUGACACAAUUGAAAUGAACUUUCAAAGGUCAAAGGGAAGAUCCUUGGGGGUUCCAUAAGAUUGUCAACUUUACUACGGACAUACACCCGUUAUCUUCAUCGACUUUAAAGGUCGAGAAAAUCAAGAGGCAGCCCGCAUCGGAUGAAUAUAAUCAAGUAAGAUGCUACCAGUAACCUUAAGAACAAAAUUUAAAGAAUGACAAACAAACCUAAUCAAGGAAGCACCAUACUAAAUCAACAUACCAAGACUAAAACAUGAUCUUCAGCUAAAAAAAUAACAAGUCAGAUCGCAAUGUUCGAAUGUAAACAUGACAUGGUUUUGAUGCUACAAUGGUUUCUGAAGAAGAACUAAAAAUCGAAUUACAAAAUUUAGACAUUAAACUCGAGAUCAAAAAUAAUAAAUCAAAGCAACUUGUCGAGCAUCGUCACACCAAAUUAAGACCGGACAGUAGCCCAAACGACUGGAAACGCUGAAUUAAAAUGGCAAACGAAAGGCAGAAUUUGGAAGAUAUGUAUACCGAUUUAUGCUAUAAAUUCACACAUAACCAACAAACUAUAAAUUUACAGAUAACCAACAACAUCAAUUAAGAAACAAUAUAUUCGACGUAACACCAGCGAAAUAGCAUAACAAUAAUCACAAACACAUCCUAAGGCCAUCAUAGCCAACUACAACAGACAAAUUCCAGCCUCAUUUAUGAUUAUUACUAAACAGUUAACUAAUUCUAUGAAGAAAAGGGAUGAAGAAGAAAACAAUGGUAUUAAAAGGGACGGGAGUAUGUUUACCUCUUUCGGGGCAGCAAAACAGAACCUCGAGCUAACAUUGGACUCCACCACCGGUGAAAGUCAGUCCUUCGAGAGCUCUGACCAAAUCGACAGCUUCAAAAAUUUGUUUUACUCAUAUGAAAACUUUACUGAUUUUUGGUCAAAAAGGAUUUUCCACCCCUUCAAGACUUGUCCCUUUUUAGCUCACAAAGGGGUUUUAGAUAGAAGGAACUAGGAAUUGAGUUUUUUUUUUGGAUUCCACUGAUGUGGGAACAACUAUUUCGAGGGUAAUUAUGGGAAUUCGAAUGGGGGGAAUUCAAACUUUGAAAACGGGAUCCGAUUGCGAGUUAGAAUUGUAUGAAAUUUGUACAAAUUCUCAACGGUUUUGUGUUGAGCUAUUCAGCUUCUGGAAGCUUCGAUGAAGCUGCAUCGAGCAUGGAUCGGGUUCGUUGGUACAGUUUUUGACUCAGGUCGGGUCGACGCUGACGAAUUCGGGCGGGUCGGUUGUUGAAAGCUGAUUGUGUGUUGUUGUUUGAGGUAGUUGUACGUAUUUUGGUUUCUCAAUGUUUGCAAGAUGUUGUACGCGGUUGUAUCUUCAAUGUUUUUUUGGCUGUUGCUAUUGAUUAGGAAGUUGGGCCGGGUCUACUGGUGUGGUGUUGGGCCGUGUUUUGCAAUUAGGCUAUGGCUGAUGGGUUGGCUGUUUGUUGGCGUGUUUGGGCCACUGUUGAGGCAGAUUUGGGCCUGCUAAUGGCUUUAAAAUAUUUGGCCUGAAAUUAAUAUGGUGUUGGGAAUUAGGAAUUAAUAAAUGGGUAGAUUAGGUCAAUUUUGG
rnacentral:lncRNA from 1 species